rnacentral:misc_RNA from 1 species
GGAAGGAUCAUUAUCGAAUAACUUGAACAGGCUGUUGCUGGCUCUCUCUUUGAGUACGUGCACGCUUGUCAUCUUUAUUUUCUCCAAUUGUGCACAUAUUGUAGACCUGGUUUGUCGAAUCUGUUCGAUUUUGGGAACUGCUGUGCCCUCGAGGUCGGCUUUUCCUUGUAAUUUUCAGGUCUAUGUCAUUUUUCAUAAACUAUUGAAUGUGUUUAGAAUGUUGAAUAUAUUAUAUAUAUGUACAACUUUCAGCAACGGAUCUCUUGGCUCUCGCAUCGAUGAAGAACGCAGCGAAAUGCGAUAAGUAAUGUGAAUUGCAGAAUUCAGUGAAUCAUCGAAUCUUUGAACGCAUCUUGCGCUCCUUGGUAUUCCGAGGAGCAUGCCUGUUUGAGUGUCAUUUCAAGCUCUCAACCGCAACCAAUUCUUGGCUGUGGCUUGGAUGUGGGGGGAUUUCUUUUUGCAGGCCUGAAUUUUUAAAUGAUGGUCUGCUCCCCUGAAACGCAUUAGUGGUUUUUUACUUACUACUGUUGGGUGUGAUAAAUUAUCUAUGCCCCUCAGGUGAUGCUGUGCAAAAAAACCGCUUCCAACAAA